rnacentral:rRNA from 1 species
UACGUAGGGGGCAAGCGUUGUCCGGAAUCAUUGGGCGUAAAGAGCGUGUAGGCGGCCAUUCAGGUCAGCUGUGAAAACUCGAGGCUCAACCUCGAGACGUCGGUUGAAACCGUUUGGCUAGAGUCCGGAAGAGGAGAGUGGAAUUCCCGGUGUAGCGGUGAAAUGCGCAGAUAUCGGGAAGAACACCCGUGGCGAAGGCGGCUCUCUGGGACGGUGCUGACGCUGAGACGCGAAAGCGUGGGGAGCGAACAGG